CUGCCACCCCUAUGCUGAGGGGUGGACGAAAUGCUUAUGGAGUGUCUUCUGGACUCUAAAUGAGAGGAGUCGGAGGUGGGUGGCCAGUUCCUGUGGAAGUGCGGCUCCACUAGACUGUAGCUCAAAUUCAGGUGCAGGUGCAGGCUAAGGAUGAUUGGCUGAAACUAGGCAUGGGAAAGGAAGAAAAUAUUCUCUUGCCUGUACCUGAAGGCCUAGAGCGAGGGCACACAGCCACUUGGGCAUGGCCUUGGGAAGUAAAAGCCCCCCACAUGCGCUGGGUGGCUCUUGUUGCCCCUUGAGGCCAAGGAAUGGACAGAAACUUGCAAAUAAGUGUCCUGGUUGAUUGGGACAUGGUCCCCAGUGUUAAAGGUGACAUAUCCAGGGCCAGCAGACCACAGAAUGCUUCUUCAUGGCACCUUUGUGAUUUCCCUAUGGCCCAUUAUGAGUUCUCCAUUGUUGUUGCAAGUAGAUGCUGAACCCCCAGCCGAGGCACAAAAGGUCUGGUGUUCACACCCAGGAAGUUCCCCUCUGCCAUCCACUGUCUCAUUGGCUGACUAGAAGCUUGCUUGUAUAUAAUCUGAUGGUCGUGAUCUGCCAUUAUUGGUGCCUAUAACUGCUUUUUGUCUUUUCACUCUGAGGGUACAGAAUAACACUUUAGUGGACUGGGUUCAUACAUAUGCCUCAGUGGCUAACCAAUCAGCAUGCUGGAUCUGCACUGAACUCCCCGUGAACAUGUCAGCCAGCCUCCUGGGGUGCAUCUCUCCUGCUUCUGUCUCAAAUUGGACUUGGUUACAAAACCAGAAGAACAGUGAAUAUCCACUGGUAAAUGCUACCUGGACUGACAUCUACACUGGGGCAAAGCAGCGGUAUGACUUGCUCAGGCCAUUGGUCAGCUACUCCAUAUGGAUGGCUAGGGGUGGCUCAUUGCUGAGGCAGUGAAACUGGCAGGACUAGCUCCCCUUUGUACUGAGAACCUCGAAGGACAAGCCCACGUGGGCUGGACUCCUACAGGUCUGUGUCAGACUUGGACUUUAAAGCAUUUCUGGGAGGGGCGGAAUGAUGCAUGCGCUGCAGUUCCCACUGGAACCCUCUGGGUGUGUGUCUCAUUGGGUGGCCUUACCUGCCUGGAAAUUAGACUGGUUGUUGUACUUGGGAAUGGCCUUAUUUGCCUGCUUGAGUUCAGAAAACUCUUGUACUCCGGCCACCCAAUUAGGAGGCAUUUAAGGCAUGACACUGUGUAAAGUGUACUCCCUGGUAGUAUUACCCAUUAGCUAUUUUUUCUCCUCAAGCUGCUUCUAUAGUCACUGAGACUGAAAUAACUGCUUUAGCUUCGCACACUGCUUAUGCAUUGAAUGCAACACAUGAUUCCUUAAGCCUCUUAAAUGAGGAAGUAAAUCAAUUGUGAAAAGUAGCCUUGCAAAACUGUAUGGCUUUAGAUGUGCUUACUGCAUCCCACAGUGGGAUGUGUGCCCUAGUAGGGACUGAAUGCUGUGUAUGUGUUCCUGAUAUCCAUUAAUUACAAUGCCAGUCAAGCUUUACAGGCAUUAGCUUCUGAGACCUGUGCUAUCGAACACCUGACAGGUGAUCCCCUGCAGGAAUGGUGGGCAUCCGUAACCACUGAGUGGCGGUGGGUCCUUGCUGUUUUGGGUGGCAGAGCUUGUGUUUUGGCUGCUUGUUGCCAUAGUCUAUACUGCUGUUGUGGGUUAUGGGUGCAGGGCUCUGCCCUCUCUGCCAAGUGACCUUUGCAGAAGAUAUCCUCAUGUAGAUUGUAUGGUGAGGAACUCAGAAGGGGUAGAUUGUAGGGUAAAAGGAGUCAGUCUGGCUCCCUCACCCAGAUGUCUGGGGAACUAAGAUAAGCAGCAUUCCCAGAGCCUUGAGUCUGGGUCCCAUAAACUGUGUUCCCAUAACAUUGAGUGGGCCCACAUGUGCAGAAUUGUACUGUGUUAUACAAUAUUUUGGCUCCCAGCCAGCUUUGUAUGCAUUUAGUAUGUAAGGAAGUUAGGGGCUUCCCACUGGGGGAUACACAGCUUGCAGUGUGCGUGGAUCACCCACCCUUGAAUGAGGCAUGUCAAGCAUCCCCAUGGUUCUGCAACUUCUCCGAGUCCAGGGUGGACCUGCCAGGCCUUGAUAGGCUAUAAGACACUCAGCAAAUACACUAUUAUAUUACUUCAUAUCAUUUCAUUUAAGAUUUCAUUUAAGUAUUUCAUAUACUUUAGAAGGUUUAAUCAUUAAUAUGAUACAGUAUGUCAUUUACACUUGAUUACACAUGGUUAUUAUAAUAACUUCUAUAAAAACUAGGAUCUUAACUCAGGUACAUAGGUAUAUAAUUCUGUCUCUUUCUCCCCCUCAUUUUUAAUGGGAAAAUCCUAUUUGAUGUCAAUUCACUAAAGAGAAACCAUUUGAGAAAUGAACCACUGUAAAUUCAAGAAUUCUAUGUUAUUUUUAUAUGAUGCCUAUAUAUACUCUUCUUCCUUUAGAUGUUACAUUUUUAGAAAUAACUUUAGAAGCAGACUUUUAAGUUUAUAAAGUUCUGUUGACUGUCAAACACCAAGCACCCACUCAGAAAUACUUUAAAACUUUCCACUGGAAAAGAAAUAGCUGUUUAUGUAGUGAGGAGCAUGAGCCUUUUCAAAGAAAGGAGAAACUUCUUUAAAAAAAGACUGAGCUUCAAAACUGACAGACAAGGAAGGGCUGCCCCAGAUGGAGGAAGGCUGAAGAGACACGACACCUGGAAAUGUGACAGGUGGUCUUGGGUGGGAUCCUGUACCUGAAAAACUACUCAGACAAGUAAGACAAUGGAUGAAAUCUGAAUAAAGUCUGUGUGUUGAAUUAGAAAAAAUAAGGCCACAAAAACCUUUGAAUGGCCAUGAGUUAAGCCUGCCACGUCUGUGGCACAGUGUC